UAAAAAUUCUGUCGCAUGGCGAACACAAAGCUGACAGACUGGACACUCGACCAGAAAACCCUAUCGGGGACGGCCUAUGCACUCGGGUGACGACGGGGCAACCCGGCAACUGACCGAACGCUACAUCGCGUUCUUGCGGAGCGAGCUGACUGCCUCAAUGCUGGAAUUGUACGGGGCCGCGGAUCUCCGCUACUUCGUCUUGCCCGAUCCCUUGUUGCAGUCAGCCCUCGAUCGACAGCCACCG
rnacentral:misc_RNA from 1 species